rnacentral:rRNA from 1 species
UACGAAGGGGGCUAGCGUUGUUCGGAAUUACUGGGCGUAAAGGGCGCGUAGGCGGUACUUCAAGUCAGGCGUGAAAGCCCCGGGCUCAACCUGGGAACCGCGCUUGAGACUGGAGAACUAGAGUUCGGGAGAGGAUGGUGGAAUUCCCAGUGUAGAGGUGAAAUUCGUAGAUAUUGGGAAGAACACCGAUGUCGAAGGCAGCCAUCUGGACCGACACUGACGCUGAGGCGCGAAAGCGUGGGGAGCAAACAGG